rnacentral:rRNA from 1 species
UACGAAGGGGGCUAGCGUUGCUCGGAAUCACUGGGCGUAAAGGGUGCGUAGGCGGGUCUUUAAGUCAGGGGUGAAAUCCUGGAGCUCAACUCCAGAACUGCCUUUGAUACUGAAGAUCUUGAGUUCGGGAGAGGUGAGUGGAAUUCCCAGUGUAGCGGUGAAAUGCGUAGAUAUUGGGAGGAACACCAGUGGCGAAGGCGGCUCACUGGACCGGUACUGACGCUGAGGCGCGAAAGCGUGGGGAGCAAACAGG